UACAGAGGCCUCAAGCGUUGUUCGGAUUAAUUGGGCGUAAAGGGUGCGUAGGUGGCUUGGUAAGUUGAAGGUGAAAUCUCGGGGCUCAACUCCGAAACUGCCUUCAAUACUGUCGAGCUCGAGGAUUGUAGAGGAGAAUGGAAUUCACGGUGUAGCAGUGAAAUGCGUAGAUAUCGUGAGGAAGACCAGUGGCGAAGGCGAUUCUCUGGGCAAUUCCUGACACUGAGGCACGAAGGCCAGGGGAGCAAACGGG
rnacentral:rRNA from 1 species